UCCUGAGAACAACCUCAUGGCGCUUGCUCCGGCCACGCACCGCUCCCUGCACCUGCACUUGGGCAUUUUGCUGGGAUUGACAGAGAAUCCGAGGGCUGGCAGUGCACUCAGACAUUCUGACCUUGAAACAAGUUCUCACUAAAUUGCUGAGGUUGGCCUGGAACUUAGGACCCUUCUGCUUUAGCUUCUCAAGUCUCUCCUCAUAAACUUUGUCAUGUAUUAACGUCAUUCCUACAGACAGUUCUGACACUUGAAUCUCUGUCCCACAGUCGGUGAC